CCUACGGGCGGCUGCAGUGGGGAAUAUUGGACAAUGGGCGAAAGCCUGAUCCAGCCAUGCCGCGUGUGUGAAGAAGGCCUUCGGGUUGUAAAGCACUUUCAGUGGGGAAGAAAGCCUUGGGGCUAAUACCCUCGAGGAAGGACAUCACCCACAGAAGAAGCACCGGCUAACUCCGUGCCAGCAGCCGCGGUAAUACGGAGGGUGCGAGCGUUAAUCGGAAUUACUGGGCGUAAAGCGCGCGUAGGCGGUUUGAUAAGCCGGUUGUGAAAGCCCCGGGCUCAACCUGGGAACGGCAUCCGGAACUGUCAGGCUAGAAUGCAGGAGAGGAAGGUAGAAUUCCCGGUGUAGCGGUGAAAUGCGUAGAGAUCGGGAGGAAUACCAGUGGCGAAGGCGGCCUUCUGGACUGACACUGACGCUGAGGUGCGAAAGCGUGGGUAGCAAACAGGAUUAGAUACCCGAGUAGUC
rnacentral:rRNA from 1 species